CAAAGGCCUCUUCCGCGUUUCGCCAAACAACUCGGUCCUCUGCUUGCUGCUGUCACGUUAUGCCCGCAAACUUCUUAAUCUCAUCUGCCCACCUAACUUGCUGUCACUACCUCACCA
rnacentral:lncRNA from 1 species